rnacentral:rRNA from 1 species
AUUGAACGCUGGCGGCAGGCCUUACACAUGCAAGUCGAGCGGAUGACGGGAGCUUGCUCCUGGACUCAGCGGCGGACGGGUGAGUAAUGCCUAGGAAUCUGCCUGGUAGUGGGGGACAACGUUUCGAAAGGAACGCUAAUACCGCAUACGUCCUACGGGAGAAAGCAGGGGACCUUCGGGCCUUGCGCUAUCCGAUGAGCCUAGGUCGGAUUAGCUUGUUGGUGAGGUAAUGGCUCACCAAGGCGACGAUCCGUAACUGGUCUGAGAGGAUGAUCAGUCACACUGGAACUGAGACACGGUCCAGACUCCUACGGGAGGCAGCAGUGGGGAAUAUUGGACAAUGGGCGAAAGCCUGAUCCAGCCAUGCCGCGUGUGUGAAGAAGGUCUUCGGAUUGUAAAGCACUUUAAGUUGGGAGGAAGGGUUGUAGAUUAAUACUCUGCAAUUUUGACGUUACCGACAGAAUAAGCACCGGCUAACUCUGUGCCAGCCGCCGCCGUAAAAC